rnacentral:rRNA from 1 species
CAUUCCUACGGGAGGCAGCAGUGAGGAGUAUUGGUCAAUGGUCGGGAGACUGAACCAGCCAAGCCGCGUGAGGGAGGAAGGUACAGAGUAUCGUAAACCUCUUUUGUCAGGGAACAAAGGCGGGGACGUGUCCCCGGAUGAGUGUACCUGAAGAAAAAGCAUCGGCUAACUCCGUGCCAGCAGCCGCGGUAAUACGGAGGAUGCGAGCGUUAUCCGGAUUUACUGGGUGUAAAGGGAGUGUAGGCGGGAAAGCAAGUCAGAAGUGAAA